rnacentral:rRNA from 1 species
GGAGGCAGCAGUAGGGAAUAUUGGACAAUGGGCGAAAGCCUGAUCCAGCAAUGCCGCGUGAGUGAAGAAGGCCUUCGGGUUGUAAAGCUCUUUUACCCGGGAAGAUAAUGACCGUACCGGGAGAAUAAGCCCCGGCUAAAUCCGUGCCAGCAGCCGCGGUAAGACGAGGGAUCCUAGC